UUUAGAAGACUAGCAGGUAGCCGCUUCAUUUCUCCUAAGGUUCCUCGACUUGCUCCCUAUAACCAGCUCCAGCCUGGAGGAUUCCUGACUCGCCAUGGAGUCCACUCUGAGCGCCGGCAUCAUGAUGGCUGAAGCACUACAAAACCAGCUUCCCGGGCUAGAGAAUAUGUGGCUCUGGGUCACCUUUCUGGCCGAUCCCAAGAACCUCUUUCAGUUCUACUUCCCCGCGGUCUACUACGCCUCCCGCCGCCUGGGCAUCUCCCUGUUCUGGAUCGCCUUCAUUACUGAGUGGCUCAACCUCGUCUUCAAGUGGUUUCUGUUUGGAGACAGGCCCUUCUGGUGGGUGCAUGAAUCCGGGUACUCCGCCCAGACUCCAGUCCAGAUUCACCAGUUCCCUUCUUCUUGUGAGACUGGUCCAGGUGGGAAAAGUUCCAACUUCCUCCCAUCCCUGGUGUGGUUAAGGUCCAGGUAAACAUUUCCAUAUACUCCCCCUAGGGUGGUCCAGACGGGCCCAGCCUCUCAGUGACUGGUCCACGAACAGACUCUGGGGAGGUCGGGUUGAGUGACAUGCCUCUUGCCAGCUGUCCAUCUCAUAAAGCCAGAGACAUGACAAGGCAGAAGCUCCAGAGCUGUGGCCUUUAGAGAAAGGUGUCGGGCAAGAGGGAAUGAGUGAUCAGCUAGCACUGAGGAAAGCUGCCUUUACAUCUCAGAUGUCUUGAGGGGAUCACCACGGGCUCCUGGCUUUCCGCUCGCUCUCUCUCUCUUUUUUUUUUUCUCACCAUGAACUUCUGGAUCUCCCGGCAGGCAGCCCCUCUGGUCACUGCAUGAUCACAGGCGCAGCUUUGUGGCCCGUAAUGAUAGCCAUUUCAUCUCAGGUGGCCUCUCAGACCCGCAGGUAGGACCCGAAUAUUGCCCACUUGUAGGAGCAUUCUGGAUUCCAAGGUCUCCACAGCAUGUUAAUUUGGGAACUGGAGUUGUGACCCGGGGGUGUUGGCUCAGACUCUUAAGCGUUUGUGUGGAUGCUGAAGAAAGCGAAGGCGUGUUGGACAUCCCUUGAGCUGUUUGUCUCUCUUCUUUCUAGCCCCUGGGUGAGGGUGAUUCCUGGCCUGGCCUAC
rnacentral:lncRNA from 1 species